CUUGCACUAAAAUACGGUAACGGUACGGGAGGAAAGCUACACUCUGUGCCUUCUGGUGUACGAAGCAGACAAGAGAAAUGAACAAGUUUUAUUGUAAAGUAUUUUAAAUUAUUGUGUGCUGGAAAAAAUGGCCUUACAUCCAAAGGAGUAAAAUUUGGAGAGUCAUUCGCCAUCUACUGAAGCCAUCCCGAAAUAUAUUGAAGUUCGAAUUUCAUAUCGGGAACAGCUGAUUGCAGAACAUGAAUUUGCAAAGACGCCACAGAAAGGAAUGGCCAGGCCUGCUAUGCUGUUUACAGCAGAAGAAACAGAAGGCCAUUUAGACUGGCAUCAGUCGUUAGAGUCAUUACAUGUAAAGCACUUGGCAUUAAAAUCCUCUCUGAUACCACUUUCUCAUAAAAUUUACAAUAUCUCUAGCCUCUGUCUCUAACAUAAGCCACAGUAAA
rnacentral:lncRNA from 1 species